GUGCUUACUUUGACAGCACAUAUAAAAUGAGAACAAUAUAGAGAUUGGCCUGUUCCCUGGGCAAAGAUGACAUGUAAGUUUGUGAACCAGUCUAUAUUUUA
ensembl:snRNA U6 U6 spliceosomal RNA